rnacentral:siRNA from 1 species
UAGAGGUCGCCGGUUCGAGU